UGGCUUUCAAUUUCAAUAGCCCCUGCUC
rnacentral:piRNA from 1 species